GGUCCAAAAAGAUUUACAAUUAAGUAGACUCUAUAUUGACCUACUCUUGUCUUAUGCGUCAUUAAAUCUACCAUUAUAUUAUAUCUUCUUAUCUAUCUUUUAAAAAUACAGGGGGGGCGGUGGCUGAGUGGUUAAACGCUUGGCUUCCGAACCUGAGGUCCUGGGUUCGAAUCUCGGUGAAGACUCUAAUGUCUACCUAA